rnacentral:snRNA from 1 species
GGAUGUGAGGGCGAUCUGGCUGCGACAUCUGUCACCCCAUUGAUCGCCAGGGUUGAUUCGGCUGAUCUGGCUGGCUAGGCGGGUGUCCCCUUCCUCCCUCACCGCUCCAUGUGCGUCCCUCCCGAAGCUGCGCGCUCGGUGGAAGAGGACGACGUCCCAGGUAUAGAAGGAGUGUACCGAGGUCUCCAGUCUUCGGUCCCGGGUAUACGAUAGCUGCGCUCCCCUGCUAGAACCUCCAAACAAGCUCAAGGUUGUCCAUCAUGUACAGUUUAUUAUUACUAUUAUUAUUAUUAAUAAUAAUAAUAGUAAU